CCCUUAGACGUUCUGGGCCGCACGCGCGCUACACUGACGAAGGCAACGAGCUUUCCUUUACCGAAAGGUACGGGUAAUCUUUUGAAACUUCGUCGUGCUGGGGAUAGAUCCUUGCAAUUUUUGAUCUUAAACGAGGAAUGCCUAGUAAGCGCAAGUCAUCAACUUGCAUUGAUUACGUCCCUGCCCUUUGUACACACCGCCCGUCGCUACUACCGAUUGAAUGGUUUAGUGAGGCCUUCGGAUCCGCGACUCGUUUGUGGAGAAGUUGGACAAACUCAGUCAUUUAGAGGAAGUAAAAGUCGUAACA
rnacentral:rRNA from 1 species